rnacentral:rRNA from 1 species
AGCGAACGCUGGCGGCAGGCCUAACACAUGCAAGUCGAACGAACCUUUCGGGGUUAGUGGCGGACGGGGGAGGAACACGUGGGAACGUGCCGGUAGGUUCGGAAAAACUCAGGGAAACUUGGGCUAAUACCGGAUGUGCCCUGCUGGGAAAGGAUUGAUCGCCUUUGGAGCGGCCGGCGACUGCUUGACUAGUUGGGUGAGGUAAUGGCUCACCAAGGCGACGAUCAGUAGCUGGUCUGGGAGGAUGAUCAGCAACAUUGGGACUGGGACACGGCGCAAACUCCUGCGGGAGGCAGCAGUGGGGAACCUGGCGCAACGGGCGAAAGCCGGACGCCGCCGUGCUGUGUGAAUGAUGAAGGUGUUAGGAAUGUAAAAUUCUUUAACCGGCGACGAUAAUGACGGUACCAGGAGAAGAAGCCCCGGCUAACUCCGU